rnacentral:antisense_RNA from 1 species
AGGGGGUGGUGGCGUGGCUCCGCAACUUUGGAAACUGCCAUUUCAUUCACACAAGGCACUGCCUGGGGGAGGGGGCUGUUCCUGGCUGCAGAAUUCUAGCUCUCACGAGCACGCAGAUAACCGCACUCGCAGCGGUGUGGGGCCGGCUGCUCAGGGGAAGCCCCGGGCUCUCCGACCCAGCUACCGGGUAUGGGGCACCCUUUGGAGAAGAACCCCAGCCUGGGGUGGGGACGCACCGGCUCUCCGGCAGCUCAAACACAGACAGAUCUUCUAGAGCAGGGGAAAUUUCUUUUCGCAGAAGCCAUUACUCCCCCCGAGAGAAGGCUGCAAAGCUGGGAAGCCUGGGGUGUGCUCCUCCCGCCCUUUUGGACCCCCGGGCUUGCACCGGCUGCACUCUGAGAACCAGCUGCGCGCCGAGCGGUGCAAUGCAGCACCCACCCUGUGGGCCUGGCAAUUGCUUGUCAUUAAAAGAAAAAAAAAAUUACGGAGGGCUCCGGGAGUGUGUGUUGGGGAGGGGAGACCGAUGCUUCUAACCCAGCCCCCGCUUUUCGUGUUGUGCAGCUGAGCGCCAGGCCAACGUUGAGCAAGGCCUUGCAGGGAGGUUGCUCCUGUGUAAUCCCGGAAGAAGGCUAGUCCGAAGGUGCAAAAUAGCAGGGAGAGGACGCGCCCCCUUAGGAACAAGACCUCUGGAUGUUUCUUGUUUCAAAUUGAAAGGAGUGGGGCGCCCCCCUUGUUUGAAAAUAAAUAAAUAAGUGCGAGCUAC